rnacentral:rRNA from 1 species
CAGCAGCCACGGUAAUACGGAGGGUGCAAGCGUUAAUCGGAAUUACUGGGCGUAAAGCGCACGCAGGCGGUCUGACAAGUCAGAUGUGAAAUCCCCGGGCUUAACCUGGGAACUGCAUUUGAAACUGUCAGGCUGGAGUCUUGUAGAGGGGGGUGGAAUUCCAGGUGUAGCGGUGAAAUGCGUAGAGAUCUGGAGGAAUACCGGUGGCGAAGGCGGCCCCCUGGACAAAGACUGACGCUCAGGUGCGAAAGCGUGGGGAGCAAACAGGAUUAGAGACCCCGGUAGUCCCUGUCUCUUAUAC